rnacentral:rRNA from 1 species
GACGUAGGGAGCGAGCGUUGUCCGGAUUUAUUGGGCGUAAAGCGCGCGUAGGCGGCUUGGAAAGUCGGAUGUGAAAAUCCGGGGCUCAACCCCGGACCUGCAUUCGAUACUUCCUCGCUAGAGGCAGGCAGGGGAGAUCGGAAUUCCUGGUGUAGCGGUGAAAUGCGCAGAUAUCAGGAGGAACACCGGUGGCGAAGGCGGAUCUCUGGGCCUGUCCUGACGCUCAGGCGCGAAAGCUAGGGGAGCAAACAGG